UACGGAGGAUCCAAGCGUUAUCCGGAAUCAUUGGGUUUAAAGGGUCCGUAGGCGGUUUUGUAAGUCAGUGGUGAAAGCCCAUCGCUCAACGGUGGAACGGCCAUUGAUACUGCAAGACUUGAAUUAUUGGGAAGUAACUAGAAUAUGUAGUGUAGCGGUGAAAUGCUUAGAGAUUACAUGGAAUACCAAUUGCGAAGGCAGGUUACUACUAAUGGAUUGACGCUGAUGGACGAAAGCGUGGGGAGCGAACAGG
rnacentral:rRNA from 1 species